CCUGAAACCGAACAGGGAUUGUAGGUCCAAGCUUC
rnacentral:sRNA from 1 species